rnacentral:rRNA from 1 species
UACAGAGGGGGCAAGCGUUGUUCGGAAUUACUGGGCGUAAAGGGCGCGUAGGCGGCCCGCUAAGUCGAACGUGAAAUCCCCGGGCUCAACCCGGGAACUGCGUCCGAUACUGGUGGGCUCGAAUCCGGGAGAGGGAUGCGGAAUUCCAGGUGUAGCGGUGAAAUGCGUAGAUAUCAGGAAGAACACCAAUGGCGAAGGCAGCUCUCUGGGACGGUACUGACGCUGAGACGCGAAAGCGUGGGGAGCGAACAGG